rnacentral:rRNA from 1 species
AUUGAACGCUGGCGGCAGGCCUAACACAUGCAAGUCGAGCGGAUGAAGGGAGCUUGCUCCUGGAUUCAGCGGCGGACGGGUGAGUAAUGCCUAGGAAUCUGCCUGGUAGUGGGGGAUAACGUCCGGAAACGGGCGCUAAUACCGCAUACGUCCUGAGGGAGAAAGUGGGGGAUCUUCGGACCUCACGCUAUCAGAUGAGCCUAGGUCGGAUUAGCUAGUUGGUGGGGUAAAGGCCUACCAAGGCGACGAUCCGUAACUGGUCUGAGAGGAUGAUCAGUCACACUGGAGCUGAGACACGGUCCAGACUCCUACGGGAGGCAGCAGUGGGGAAUAUUGGACAGUGGGCGAAAGCCUUAUCCAGCCAUGCCGCGUGUGUGAAGAAGGUCUUCGGAUUGUAAAGCACUUUAAGUUGGGAGGAAGGGCAGUAAGUUAAUACCUUGCUGUUUUGACGUUACCAACAGAAUAAGCACCGGCUAACUUCGUG